rnacentral:lncRNA from 1 species
UACCAUCCAGAUUUCCCAUUUUGGCCACGCUUCACAUGCGACACAUAUAGAAGUACACAGCAGCUUCCCCCCUUACCUGCAAGGGAUAUGUUCAGAGAUCUCCAGUGGAUGCCUGAAACUAUGGAUAGUACUGAAUCCUAUAUAUACUGUUUUUUUCUAUACAUAUAAUAAAGUUUAUAAAUUAGGUACAGUAAGAGAUUAAAAACUCAAAAUAUGAGUUAAACUCAUAUGCAAUAUAAUAUAUGCAAUAAAAUUGAAAUACUGUCAAACUCUGUAAAGUAUUUGAAGAGAUU